rnacentral:rRNA from 1 species
AGAGUUUGAUCCUGGCUCAGAUUGAACGCUGGCGGCAGGCCUAACACAUGCAAGUCGAGCGGAUGAGUGGAGCUUGCUCCAUGAUUCAGCGGCGGACGGGUGAGUAAUGCCUAGGAAUCUGCCUGGUAGUGGGGGACAACGUUUCGAAAGGAACGCUAAUACCGCAUACGUCCUACGGGAGAAAGUGGGGGAUCUUCGGACCUCACGCUAUCAGAUGAGCCUAGGUCGGAUUAGCUAGUUGGCGAGGUAAAGGCUCACCAAGGCGACGAUCCGUAACUGGUCUGAGAGGAUGAUCAGUCACACUGGAACUGAGACACGGUCCAGACUCCUACGGGAGGCAGCAGUGGGGAAUAUUGGACAAUGGGCGAAAGCCUGAUCCAGCCAUGCCGCGUGUGUGAAGAAGGUCUUCGGAUUGUAAAGCACUUUAAGUUGGGAGGAAGGGCAGUAAGCUAAUACCUUGCUGUUUUGACGUUACCGACAGAAUAAGCACCGGCUAACUUCGUGCCAGCAGCCGCGGUAAUA